rnacentral:rRNA from 1 species
GAUGAACGCUGGCGGCGUGCCUAACACAUGCAAGUCGAGCGAUUCUCUUCGGAGAAGAGCGGCGGACGGGUGAGUAACGCGUGGGUAACCUGCCCUGUACACACGGAUAACAUACCGAAAGGUAUGCUAAUACGAGAUAAUAUACUUUUAUCGCAUGGUAGUAGUAUCAAAGCUUUUGCGGUACAGGAUGGACCCGCGUCUGAUUAGCUAGUUGGUAAGGUAACGGCUUACCAAAGCGACGAUCAGUAGCCGACCUGAGAGGGUGAUCGGACACAUUGGAACUGAGACACGGUCCAAACUCCUACGGGAGGCAGCGGUGGGGAAUAUUGCACAAUGGGCGAAAGCCUGAUGCAGCAACGCCGCGUGAGCGAUGAAGGCCUUCGGGUCGUAAAGCUCUGUCCUCAAGGAAGAUAAUGACGGUACUUGAGGAGGAAGCCCCGGCUAACUGCGUGCCAGCAGCCGCAGUAAUAC